GACGAACGCUGGCGGCGUGCUUAACACAUGCAAGUCGAACGCUGAAGCCCAGCUUGCUGGGUGGAUGAGUGGCGAACGGGUGAGUAUCACGUGAGUAACCUGCCCCCUUCUUUGGGAUAACGCCCGGAAACGGGUGCUAAUACUGGAUAUUCACUUGCCUUCGCAUGGGGGUUGGUGGAAAGGGUUUUUUCUGGUGGGGGAUGGGCUCGCGGCCUAUCAGCUUGUUGGUGGGGUGAUGGCCUACCAAGGCUUUGACGGGUAGCCGGCCUGAGAGGGUGACCGGUCACAUUGGGACUGAGAUACGGCCCAGACUCCUACGGGAGGCAGCAGUGGGGAAUAUUGCACAAUGGGCGAAAGCCUGAUGCAGCGACGCCGCGUGAGGGAUGGAGGCCUUCGGGUUGUAAACCUCUUUCGCUCAUGGUCAAGCCGCAGC
rnacentral:rRNA from 1 species